rnacentral:misc_RNA from 1 species
GAUGAAGAACGUAGCGAAAUGCGAUAAGUAAUGUGAAUUGCAGAAUUCAGUGAAUCAUCGAAUCUUUGAACGCACAUUGCGCCCGCCAGUAUUCUGGCGGGCAUGCCUGUUCGAGCGUCAUUACAACCCUCAGGCCCCCGGGCCUGGCGUUGGGGAUCGGCGGAGCCCCCCGUGGGCACACGCCGUCCCCCAAAUACAGUGGCGGUCCCGCCGCAGCUUCCAUCGCGUAGUAGCUAACACCUCGCGACUGGAGAGCGGCGCGGCCACGCCGUAAAACACCCAACUCUUCUGAAGUUGACCUCGAAUCAGGUAGGAAUACCCGCUGAACUUAAGCAUAUCAAUAAGCGGAG